rnacentral:rRNA from 1 species
UUUUAUUAAUAAUAAAUAAAGUGCCUGAGUUAUAUAAGGUUUAUUAUGAUAUAAUAAAAAUGUUAAAAUUUUAACCUUUAUUUUAAUUAAAUUAUUAAUUAUAAAAAAUUUUUAUUUAAGUUUUAAUUAAUUAAUUAAUUUAAAUUAUAUUAAGUUUAGUAUUUAUUUAAAAAUAAAAAAUUUUUAUUUAAGUUAAAAAUAAAUUUUUAAUUAAUUAAAUUUAUAAAAAGUAAAAUUUUUUUUUUUUACCUUUUGUAUCAGGGUUAAUUAAAAAUUUAAGUUAAUUAAUUUAUUUCUCGAAAUAAAAAAAUUUAAAUAUAAAAUAUUAUUAAUAUUAAAAUAUUAAAUUAAAUUUAUAUUUAGAAAUUAUAUGUUAAUCAUUUUUUAUAAUAUCUAGUUUAUUAAUAAAUAAAUUUAAUUUAUUUUUAAUUUAAUAUAUAAAUUUAUUUAAUUAAAUUUAUUUAAAAUUAAAAAAAAAAUUUUUGGUUUAAGCUUAAAAUUUAAUUUAUAAAUUUAUUAAUAAAAAAUAUUUUUUAUAUUUAAAUGAAAUUAUUUUUUUUUAAUAAAAAUUUAAUAAUUUAAAAAAAAUUUUUUAAUUUUUAAUAAAAUUUUAAAUAAUUAUUAAUAUAUAAUAUUUAAUAAUAAUUUUUUAUAAAUAAUGAUUAAAUUAGUAAUAUUAAUUAUUUAAGUGAUUUUAUUUUAAUAUAAUUUAAUAAUUUAAAAUAAAUUUAAUUAAUUUAGCAAAUUUAUAUUCACCUGUUUAUCAAAAACAUGUCUUAUAGAUAUUAAUUUUAAGUCUAAUCUGCUCAAUGAAUUUUAAAUAGCUGCAGUAUAAAUAACUGUACAAAGGUAGCAUAAUAAUUAGUUUUUUAAUUGAAAACUAGAAUGAAUGAUUGAAUGAAAUAUAAACUGUGUCAAAUUUAAUUAAUGAAAUUAAUUUUUAAAUUAAAAAGUUUAAAUUUAAUUUAAAGACGAGAAGACCCUAAAGAAUUUUUUAAUAUAAAUAAAUUAUUAAAAUUUUUUAUAUUAUUUAAUUGGGGAAAUUUUAAAAUUUAAUAAAUUUUUAAUUAAAUUAAACAUAAAUUUAUGAAAAAUUAAAAUUUUUUUAAAUAAUUAAAAUAAAUUACCUUAGGGAUAACAGCAUAAUUUUUUUUUUAAGAUCAAAUUUAUAAAAAAGUUUAUGACCUCGAUGUUGAAUUAAGAUUAAUUAAUAUUGUAAAUAAUUUAAAUUUUAAGUCUGUUCGACUUUUAAUAUCUUACAUGAUUUGAGUUAAGAUCGGUGUAAGCCAGAUCGGAUUCUAUCUUAAAUAAAAUUUAAUAAUUUUGUACGAAAGGAAUUUUUAUUAAAAAUAAUUUUUAAGAUAUUUAAAUUAAUUUA